CCCUCUGCGUGUCCUCCCCUCACGGAGCCAGCGGUGCCUUCCCCGCCGAGCCUGCGGCACCGGGGCCAGCGCUCUUCAGGUGUCGGGGUGCCCGGUCCCCCCUGGUGGCCGCCCCGCGGUGCUCCGGACCCGCUGCGGUCCUAAACCGGCCCCUGCCCUUGGGGCUCCGGCUGAGCAUCCCCCGACCCCACCCCGCGGUGGCCAUCGGUGUCCGUGGGUGCUCGGGGACCCCAGGUGGGAUGGUCCGGGGUGGUGGUCAUCAUGUCCUUAGUGCACCUUGGUAGAAGGACCCCUGAAAAGCACCCAUCAAGAUAUUUUCAAUACGAAAACUAAGCAGCUGCAUAGUCCUUCAUAAGCCAUAAAAUAAACAUUUUAUGGGUGAAUGCUAGGCUAAGAACACAAAAAUUGUAUUGCAAUUGGAAAAUGGAGAAAUCCAGGCAACAUAGAAGAAACGUUCUGUACCACAUCUGCAUAUGGAUUGGCAAUCACCCUAAUCUUUGUGUCACUCAUCUGUACCUCUGUAAUUAAAGGUUUACACUAACCAUCAAUUUGGCGGUCUGAGGCAA